rnacentral:ncRNA from 2 species
UCUGCAGGCCACGCUGAGUUUGGGGCCCUACCCAGAAAGGUGCUGAUGAGGCAGGAUACAGAUUAUUAGCGCCUGACUGAGUGGGGUCCCAAUCAGUAACAGAACUGCCCGUG